UCACUAGCCUGACCUGGCUGUUUCCUGGUAACCAGGUGACAUAGGAAGCUUUGUGGGUUAUAGGCAUUAGCCAGGCCAGCAGCCUUCAGUCGGUAGCUGGCAGUGGAGGGAGGAGGAGGAGCUCCGACUGUGCUCUUUGACGGCAGUUUUUGUGCCUCUUGGCGCUUGUCGUGUGUUUCUCUUUGAAGUAAAACAUCAGCUCCAACUGUGGCUGGCCCAGGGGGAAGGUGGCAUCCAGUUAUGAAUCUGAUAUUUAUGAGGCCGUGGCUGCUGCAACAUCAGAAUCCACUACUGUAGAGCCUGGCAAGCUGGAUGUGGGAGCCACGGAGGGCCAAGACCUGCAGCACAUCAGCAACCAAAAGAUGCCCACAGCUUCUGUUCUGGACCUGGAAGAUAUAGCGCUUGAUAUUGUGGAGGAGGUGUUAUCUGAAAUGGUCCCCCUGAGGACCGCCUGAGUUUAAAACUUCUACCACCAGGUGGGGAAGACGAUGAUGCCAAGGUAAGACCCCCUUUCUUUGCCUUCUAAGGAAAUGUUGCUUUCCUGAUGUCAGAAGCAAACUCACCCAUCCACACCCAAAGAAUGGACUCAGAGGCCUGCAGAACAGCAAAAGUGAGACUUUUCAUGAUGGUCUUGCAAGGUCGAGUGUCUGAUGGGCAGACACACCAGAACAAUUUCAACAAGCAGUUUAUCCCCUAGUGUGCAAGUCCCUCCCCCGGUUCCUCAUAGGCUGAGUACUAUGGGGUCACAAUCUUCCCAGGUUGUCGCAUAUUGAUUGUUGGGUAGGAGCUUUAGGUUUUUUUUAUUUUUAUGGUUGUCUUACUGCAUUUUGUUGCACCCCACAAUGCAUUGCAAUCCUAGUCAGCUCAGGGGCUGUUCAAGUAUUUGACUUAUGACUUUAGUAGCUGGGCAGGCUGGUAAGAACAAAGUGAGGUAUUUUGCAGGCUAGUAAACUUUCAACUUAGACUAAACUUCUUUGUUCAAGUGAUGGGAACUAAGUAGUAUGGAAGGGGGUCCAACAAGCAGACAUUGCCUGUCCAACCAGGAGCCUAGUAUUUCUUCUGUACUUUUUUGACCUGAACCAGUUCAAGGCACUUUGUCUUAAAAAUGGAUCACUGUAUACAUUAUUUCCUUAACCUGAUUUCUUUCCUUCUCAAUUAAUGUUCACUUAAGAAUAUGAUGAGGCAUAUAAAGUACAACAUACACAAUUCUCUUUGUGAGGAUGGAGUUCAGUGGGAGUGUCUUCCCAUCUAAUACAUGACUAGGGUGUUUUUAAAUGACAGCAUCCAUCAUCAACUGUGAUGCAGAGGCAUUUUCCUCCACACCAGUUUUCCUCUUUGAAUUAGGCAUUGUGCGUUUACCAAUCUAAAUCAACUUCAAAGAAAUUCUGUGGGAAAAGCUCUUGUCUUUUCCACAGGUGUCCUCCAUGCUAGAAUGUUUGGUCUUUGAACCUUGACUCAACCACUGUUUCACAACUAGUUUUCUGAAGUCAUCAAGAGACUAACUGAUCUGUGUAAGGGGUGCAGCAGAAUUGAUCUGAUCCUCAUAGAAUCUUCUUUUGUCUCAUUGCAGAUUUUACCAUCACCUAUCCACGGUACGUACUUUGAACUAACUUUCUGAGAAAUAAACUUGCUAGCUUUAAUAUAAAGAAACCUCAAUCUGGGUUCCUGUUAAAAAUAUUGGGGGUGUGGUGAGAGCAAAUGAUUCUGCAAGUGUAUAGCUAUGAGCAGAGGGGCUGUAGAAAUGUGUGUGAACCCAGAGGACCAACCAGGAGAUUUUGUGUGAGCCAGUGUGUCUUCACCUGGAGUAGAAGUGAGUGCACCUCUCACUGACUUAUCCUCAUGUUGUUGGUUCUGAAGAGUGGAUUCUGGAGAAUCUUAGCAGGGAAGAGGAUACCUUUCCAGGUAGGCAAGAAGACUUCAGGUGGGAUCUAAUAAAACAGCAUUUCCAGCAACUUUCAGGUUAUACCUGCUGCUUGGGAGGCUGAGGAGGGUGCAGAAAG